CACGCGCGCAAACACAUAUUUGUCGAUAAUGACAAUAAGAUCGUUUGUGUUUGGUGAGAGGUUCAAACUUGAACUGAAGUCACACGACUAAUCCGCGUUGCUGGCGUGCGCUCAACGUGUCAAUUCUUUACGAGCGUGAAAUACGAAGAAAAUCAACGUAUUUUCCGCAUCAUUAUCGCUCAUUAUUGUCGGGUGGCGCACGCCGAACAAUACAAGAGUCGUUAAAAAGUCGACAUUCAUUGCGCGGGCGUCACUUCUUGAGUUGCGAUUAUUAAUCUACAGUUAGUUAUUGUUGGUGCGCACGAAGAACAAGAAGGAUUGAGUACCGUUUUAAUAUAAAACACGCGUGCAGCAUGCGUUGCAAAUCGGCGAGAUUCCGUCUUGGCGUGAUGGCGGUGCUGGUGAUGACGUUUGACAUCAUCAGCGCCAUCAGUGUGGACGAUGUCAACGCGCCUAGAUUAGCUCAUUACCAGGUUGAACAACAGCCGCAUAUUGAAUACAACUAUAUUGUUUACGAUUUGAACCCGGUUGAGGUGGUUUGGUGGAAGCGCGGCACGCAUCGCUUACGUGCCAACAAAAACAAGAUGGCCGCCGUGCAAAGUGACGCCGAAUCACAUCCGGCCGCCAUUGCAAGCGCAAAUAAUUAGAGUGCAGCACAUAAAAACUGUUAUUUAAAAUAGUCGAGCAUUCAAAAAUGAGCGAAAAUGUUAAGUGGGUCAUGGUGGCACUUAGUAGGCGAUUAAAGCAAUGAUUAACGCGUCGUUAAGCACGUUAGUGACGCACCAUUCAGUAAAAUCGGCCGGGCAGGACGAAUGGGCCAGUCUAGCGUGAUGUGCGUUUAAUUAUCAUACGCGCGAAUUAUUAAACGUCUUAUCUUAAUGUUUAGCGAUAGCAAUAAAUAAGAAUUUCUAAGGUAGGCAACCAAAUAUACUCUGCGCAUGCGUGUUUCUAAAGUGGGCGGAGCAAAUAUAUAAAAUUUUUAUUAUUUAUUAGUAGAAUAAGAAAAAAAACAAAUUUAAUAUUUGUUUUAUAAUCAUUUAUUGUUUUUUUUUCAAUCGAUAAUAAUUAUAAUAAAUGCUCAUACGGCGGCGUGUAUGUAUGUACAAACAAGAUGAGAUGACGCAUUUUCUGCUUCUUUCUUCUUUCAAUUGUUUAAACAUUGUGUAUUAGUAUUUAUUUUAUUCGCUUAAGUUUUAUAGUUUUUUCUUUUCUUCUUGGUUUAUUUAAGUUUAAAUCGUGUUUUCGUUUAGAUUUGUUUACUGUAUCGCGCAAAACGACCAAAGUAAGAAGAGAUCAAAGUCAGAAGGAAUGCGUAUCGUAAUUUAUGCGAUGCAUAGUUUAUUCUAUUUAUUAUUAUUGUAAUCAUAAUUAUAAUUAUAAUUAUGUAUUAAAUGUAAUAAUGCGAUACUCUUA